rnacentral:piRNA from 1 species
UGGCACGGUUCAUGUCAGGAGGACUAGAA